AAAGCAAAACCUAGGCUAUCCUGACUGAGACAGUCAUAGCCAGUGUGGCUGCAGACAGUAAGGGGAAAUGUACAAACAAAAUUACCCUGAAUAUCCUAUCCUAGGCUGGUAGGAGAGCUCAGAUCAUGUGAGAUCUUAUAGGCAAAAUAAAGAAUUGGGGUUUUAGCCCAUGUCCAAUAGGAUGUGCUUAGAGAAGGUUCAGCAGGGUGAUUUGACAUGUUCCAAGUUUUCUGUAUUAAAACAAGUUAUUGGAGUUCCCACUGUGGCUCAGUGGGUUAAGGACAUGACAUAGUCUGUAGGAGGAUGCAGGUUUAAUCCCUGGCCUCACUAAGUGGGUUAAGGAUCCAGCAUUGCUACAAGUGUAGGUCUCAGAUGUGGCUUGGAUCGUGUGUUGCUGUGUCUGUAACAGAGGCCUCAGCUGCAGCUCCAAUUUGACCCCUAGCUUGGGAACAUCCAUAUGCCUUAAAAAGAAAAGAAAAUGGGGAGUUCCCAUCAUGGCACAGUGGAAACAAACCUGACUAGGAACCAUGAGGUUGCGGGUUCAAUCCCUGGCCUCACUCAGUGGGUUAAGGAUCCGGCAUUGCCAUGAGCUGUGGUGUCAGUUGCAGACUCGGCUUGGAUCUAGCGUUGCUGUGGCUCUGGCGUAGGCCAGCAGCUGUAGCCCUGAUUAGACCCCUAGCCUGGGAACCUCCAUGUGCCACAAGUGCAGCCCUAAAAAACAAACAAACAAAAAAAAAACAACAAAAAAAUGAAUAAAAUAAAACAAGUUACUGUUAAUACCACGCCCAGGCAUAUAUCCAGAGAAAAUUCUAAUUCAAAAAGAUACAUACGCUGCUACAUUCACAGCAACAUUAUUUACAAUAAUCAAGAUAUGAAGACAACCUAAAUGUCCAUUAACAGAUAAAUGUAUAAAGACGACACAUAUGCGUAUGCAUGCACAAUGGAAUAUUACUCAGCCACAAAAAAUAAUGAAACAAUGCCUUUUGCAGCAACAUGAAUGGACUAGAGAUUAUCAUACUAAAUGAAGUAAAUCAGAAGAGAAAGACAAAUACCAUGUGAUACCACUUAUAUGUGGAAUCUAAAUUAUGACACAAAUGAACUUAUCUACAAAACAGAAACAGACUCACAGACAUAGAGAACAAACUUGUGAUUGCCAAGGGGGAGAAAGAUGGAGGGAUGGACUGGAAGUUUGAGAUUAGUAAACUAUUAUAUAGAAUGGAUAAACUUUGAGAACUAUGUCUAGAUACUCAUGUUGCAACAGAAGAAAGGGUGGGGGAAAAACUGUAAUUGCAAUGUAUACAUGUAAGGAUAACCUGACCCCCUUGCUGUACAGUGGGAAAAUUAAAAAAAAAAAAAAAGAAUGGAUAAACAAAGCCCUACUGUAUAGCACAGGUAACUAUAUUCAAUAUUAUAUGAUAAAUCAUAACGGAAAAGAAUAUGAAAAAGGAUGCAUAUAUAUAUGAAUCAUUUUGCUAUAAUUAACACAUUAUUGUAAAUCAACUAUACUUCAAUAAGAUAAAUUUUAAAAAGUUCUGUUUCUCUUUGACUAGUAAACACCCCACUAAUUCCACUAGAGAAAAGGCUCUUUUUAAGAAAUCCACAAACAAGCAUUUAUUGAGCACCUUCUAUCUUUCCACAUGCCAGGCACUGCAUUAAACAUUGGAAAAUACAAAAGCGAAUAAAACAGUUUCUGGAUUCAGAGUCAGGGUUGUAAAGAGAUAUUUGUAAGAACACAUGAUGAAUGUUCUCAGCUUCAGGUCAAGCUUCAGAGGAGCAAUCAUUUGAGCAGGGUGUAGCUGAGGCUCAUAGGAAUGGAAGGAAUGUGUAGUGUAGGGUGUGGUAGACUGUAUUACUAUUUGCAAAUACUUGCUGCCCCGCCCCCACCGACAACAGGCUUGGCCACAUAAACUGCUCUCAGUGUUCUUUUUUUCCUGCCACGACAAUCAGCAAUGUUUCAGAAAAGGUCCCUGGUGCAAAGAUGAUCUGUGUGAAGCAGAGACACAGCCAACCCAUAAUAGGCAUGCAACACGAGUGAGAAAUCAUUCCGUGGUUGUCAUCCAGUAAGAUUUUUGGCUUGCUACCAGAGCGUAACCUGGCCUAUACAGAGGUGUGCAUUUCCAGCUCUUGACUUCCAGGCACAUAGUAGGAAUGUACCAUCCUGAACUUUUUAAGAAAGACAACUAAUUAGAUGGCCAUACAACUAAUUUUUGACCAAUACUAUUUUUCUUAUUACGGCUGCACCUGCACCACAUGGAAGUUCCCCGGCUAUGGGUUGAAUCAGAGUUGCAGCUGCUGGCCUAUGCCACAGCCACGGCAACACAGGAUCUGAGCCGCAUAUGUUAAGUACAUGGCAGCUUGCAGCAACGCUGGAUCCUUAACCCACUGAGCCACAGGGGAGCUCCUCCAGGAGGAAGUUCUAAAGCCAUUAUGGAAUCACCAUGCUUUCUCUUCCUUGUCAAGGUGGUUGGGAUGCUUGUGGAAGCACACAUAUUUCAGGAUGAAACCUUCUUCGGACUGUCUCUGAGUGAGUAUAUCGAGAGAAGCUCCUCUGACCUUGAACAUAUAGUAUGAGCAAGAAAUAAAAUUUUUGGUUAAGCCAAGGAGAUAUUAGGAUUGUUACGGUGGCAAACCUCACCCAUCCUGAUGGAUAUAAAAAGUGGCACCUUGACAUGGGAUAAUGUAAUAACAACAGCAAGAAAAGAAACAUUUGUGUACAGGGCAGUAAAGAACACUGAUAUCAGAAGGUAAAAGGAUGGUGAUCUAUCCGAUGAAUUUAUCACCUGUGAUCAUUUAGGAGGUGAACCUAAUGAACCAAAUGAACCUAAUGAACUAAAGCAAAAUAUUGUAAGACAAAAUGUCUGUAGCAUGUGUUGGUGGCUCUUGGAUUUAGAAACUUAUUAUAGAAAAGAGACGAGCUCAGAGAAGAUUUGGCCAGUUUGCAAGUAGAAAUAAAAGACAGUGGGGACGACAUACACAUUCAGAGAAAUGUGUUGUUUCUCAAUCUCAACUAGUAAAAUAUCAGAUUAAGAAAGAUUUUCAGCAAGAAGAGACCAAUUAAAAUCAGCCCUGAAGUAUGGCUCCAGUCAAAGAAAUGGCCUCAAACCUAUUGUUAAAACCUCUGGAUAAAUUAAGACGUUACCCGGCACAUGCUUUCAAUUAGAGAAAAGGGCUCUGGAACAGGAAGGAAAAGUAUGACUCUGCCACCCAAGUCCAAUAAGCCCAAAGCACUCAAAACCAAGUCAAGACCAGAGAGAGAGAGGGCAGGAGAGAAAGGGAGAGAGAGAGGCAGGGGUGGGGGUGGGGGGUGGGGGUGGGGAUGAUAACAAUAUGAAAGAGAGAGAGAGAGAGAUUAGCAGGCAUGAGAGCAAGAAAGCAAAGAAAUAUGGCAAACCAUAGAGGCAUGUCUAGGAAAGAACUGGCUGUGGCUCUUGGCACACGGAACACCUGGAAUCAAAUACAUAGGAAACCUACAUUUGGGGGAGAGUUAUACUGCCAAAAGAACAUCAGCCUGGAUUAGGGGAGACCAUAUUUGAGACUUAAUAUCACCCUGUUUCCCCACCCCACCCACAAUUUCUAAAAGCUGAUUUAAACGCCUAUUUGCUGUACCCACUUUAGAUGCAGAGAAGGAAGACACGGAGGGCAAGCCCAGGGGUCAUGAGAAACAAGGGCUCAGGCAGCUACACUCAGGGGGCAGAAUCAAGGUCUAAUCCGGGUGCCGGGUGGAGGGUCCCCAGCAUGCCUGCUCUGUGGAUUAGUGUCCACUGUGGUGUCCCAUCCCUUCACUGUCAAUUGGUGUGUCCACCGCAGUUAUCCUGUCUCUGUCCCACUGUUACCUAUGGAGGCCAUCCCAGGCAGGCAUCUUGUCUUUGGAUGAAGAGACAUACCUGGAGCUGAAACAGAGUCUACUCGCAUCACUCAGAAUGUGGAAAGUAAGUGUGAUAUACUAUGAUUAGAUGGGUCUUUGGGGUCAUCCCCCUGGAGGAGAAAGUGAGGGAAUUCUGCCCAUGGGAGGACAGUAAGCCAAACAUUUGGUGAACAGAAGGGGAGACUAUUCCUGUCAUUAGUGUUGUUCCCCAAAUAUUCCUGACUCUCUCCCUUCAAGACACUUGGCAGGAUUACAGAGAUUUCAAGUUAAGCAUGGCCACGUGAAUGGCCCUGGCCAAGGAUGCAUGUGCAGGAGUGCAGUGUGUCACUUCCAGGUGGAUGUUGAGAGCCAGUGAAUGAUUUGCUGCCUGCACUUCCCCCAGCCAAGACAGUAAUGAGAAGCAAGCAUCAAGAUGAAGCCUUCUUCAACCCAAGUCCACGGUGAAUGGAACUCCCCUGCAGACCCACGGUGAAUGAGAAAUAAACUUCCCUGGGGUAAGCCACUGAGAUGACAGGGUUGUUUGUUAGGGCAGCAAGGCCCAGCCUUUCCUGACUGAUAUUAGGAGUGAGAGAGGAGGAUGGAGAGCAGGAGCUAGGCUGUGAAAGGCCCCUUCGCCCACGCAAAGGGAUCUGAACCCUCUCUUGCUUGUAAGGGGAAGCCAACAAAGGUUUCCAAGCAAGGGCGUUAACAUGAACAGAUCUGCUAUUUUUUGGAAGAAAUAUGCUAUUUCUCAACAUAAGGAGAAAAUCAGCCUACUAAACCACAUAAGGCAUAGAGGAACACGCAGAACCCUUAAGCAAAAGAUAUAUAUUUAUAUAAAGUCCUAAGUCUUGAAGUUUCUAAAUACGGGAGCUCUGAAAGGAGGCUUUGAAAGGAGCUACAGAGGAUUGAGCGAGACAAUUUCUUCCAGCCCACCAUCUAAGCGCCAUUUCCCCUGCAGAAAACCAGUACUUUACAGGAAGGUGGCCCUUAGCAGAGAAGAUAUAAAAAGGGAAUGUAACACACAUCUGAAGUCAGUUUCCAGCUGCCUGUGUGACUGAGUGGGAUCCUUAACCUCUCUGGGCCUAGUUCCUCAUAUACAAAAUGUGGAUAAUAACAUAUGCGGCCCAAAAUUGUGGGAAGAAGUAGCAUAUAUAAAUUGCUCAGGCAAAUGCCUGGUUAAUAGGAGGUGUUUAAUACAUGACAGUCAUUUUUAUUACUGUUAUUAAAAUGAUUAAAAACACCAGCUCCCUGAUUACAGAAGAAAAUGAUUCAGGUCAACAGUGUAGAGGAGAAUGUUCCCUCCUUGAGGAAAAUAACUGGAUCUAGUCAUCACUGUAUCCCUACCCCGACCCCAGCUCAAUGCUUGGCUCACAGCAGUCACCGUUUCCAUCUGCUGCAGGUUGAAAUGAGAGGCAAACGCCUGGAGUAAAGGAAAGCUGUCAAGAUUUUCCUGACACCAGCUGCUACUGGGCUGUUGAAUCUGAACUCUCAAAGCCACAAAUACCUUGAAAUUCUCAGGCCAUGAACACAAGGGGAAAUUCCCCCAAGUUCAGAAGCUGAAAAGCCCCAAAACUAGAACCUAGGAAUGGAAACGGAGGCAAGUCCAACUUCAAGCCCCAGUCCUAGAGAAAACCCUGGAAGGAGCUGACUUCUGACCCUUUCCUCCCUCACCCUCCUGCCCUCACUGCUCCUCACAGGAUGAGUACACCUGGUUCUGCCAAGGCACACUCUUGCUCUUACAUUCUGGCAUCCCAUCCACGCUCAGGGAAACUCCCAGGAAGGCCAGGGCAGGGGGCUGUAGGCAAUGACCUCCUAGCCCUGGAGGCCAUGACACUACAGCAACCCAGCUCAGCGAGGUGGGUCUCACCAGCCCCACUUGCAGAUGAAGGAACUGACUCUCAGAGAAGUUGUAUGAUUUGUUCACUUCACACCGUGGCAGCGCUGGCCAUGUGAGAACCCACGACUCCAGACUUUGGGAUUCUUUCCGCCAUACACUUUUGUCCCUAAGGGGUGCGGGGAUGGGGGAGGAUAAAAUAACAACCACAGAAAAGGAACCACUUACAUGGGUCUAGCGCUUCCUAGAGGCUACACAGGAUAUGGACCCACCACCCGGCCGGAGAAAUUUGAAAUCUUGGAUCCUCCCCUGACUCGCUGCGUGACUUUUGGCAAGUGCCUGCUGCUCUCGGACUUGUUUUCCCGGAAGCAAAU
rnacentral:lncRNA from 1 species